rnacentral:rRNA from 1 species
GAUGAACGCUGGCGGCGUGCCUAACACAUGCAAGUCGAGCGAACAGACGAGGAGCUUGCUCCUCUGACGUUAGCGGCGGACGGGUGAGUAACACGUGGAUAAUCUACCUAUAAGACUGGUAUAACUUCGGGAAACCGGAGCUAAUCCCGGAUAAUCUAUUGCACCGCAUGGUUCAAUAGUGAAAGACGGUUUUGCUGUCACUUAUAGAUGGUUCCGCGCCGCAUUAGCUAGUUGGUAAGUUAACGGCUUAUCAAGGCAACCAUGCGUAGCCGACCUGAGAGAGUGGUCGGCGGCACUGGAGCGGGAACGCGGUCCAUGCGCCUACGGGAGGGAGCAGUAGGGAACCGUCCGCAGUGGGCGAAAGUAUGGCGGAGCGGCGGCAAGCGAGUUAUGAAGGUGCUGGGAUCGUGAAACUCUGUUACUAGUGGAGAACAAAUGUGUAAGUAACUAUGCACGGCUUGACGGUACUGAAUCAGAAAGCCACGGCUAACUACGUG